AUUUUCAUCAUUCACACAAUUCAUUCAAAUUUCAUAGGUUUAACAUCAAUGUUUUCAUCAUUCUCACUAUUCAAUCAAAUUCCAUGGGUUUAACAACAACAUUUUCAUCAUCAGACAAUUCAAUCAAAUUUCAUAAGUUUAACAAUAACAUAUUCAUCAUUCACACAAUUCAAUCAAAUUUCAUGGGUUUAGCAACAACAUCUUCAUCAUUCACACAAUUCAAUCAAAUUUCAUAAGUUUACCAACAACGUUUUCUUCACCAUUCGCACAAUUCAAUCAAAUUUCAUAGGUUUAACGUCAACGUUUUCAUCAUUCACACAAUUCAAUCAAAUUUCAUCGGUUUAACAACAACAUUUUCAUCAUUCACACAAUUCUAUCAAAUUUCAUAGGUUUAACAUUAACAUUUUCAUCAUUCAUACAAUUCAAUCAAAUUUCAUGGGUUUAACAACAACAUUUUCAUCAUCACACAAUUCUAUCAAAAUUCAUAGGUUUAACAACAAUAUCUUCAUCAUUCACACAAUUCAAUCAAAUUCAUAGGUUUAACAUCAACAUUUUCAUCAUUCACACAAUUCAAUCAAAUUUCAUGGGUUUAACAACAGCAUUUUUAUCAUUCACACAAUUCAAUUAAAUUUCAUAUGUUUAACAACAACAUUUUCAUAAUUCACGUUUUCAUCAUUCACACACUUCAAUCAAAUUUCAUGGGCUU
rnacentral:lncRNA from 1 species